rnacentral:ncRNA from 1 species
AACAAUGCGGGAGAAUGAUGCAACAUGGAUAACUGGCUUGUGUUAGUCAAGCGUUCAUAGCGACGUUGCUUUUGAAUCCUUCGAUGUCGGCUCUUGCUAUCAUACUGAAGCAGAACUCAGUAAGCGUUGGAAUGAUCACCCACUAAUAGGGAACGUGAGCUGGAUUUAAACCGUCGUGAGGCAUAUUGGUUUCAAACUACUCAUGAUAUGUUGUUGCAAUAGUAAUUGAACUUGGCACGAGAGGAACCGUUCAUUCGGAUAAUUAGUACUUGGGCCUGCCUGAGCAGGCAAUAGCCCGAAGCUAUCAUCCAUCGGGUUAUGGCUAAAGGCCUCUAAGUCAGAACCAGUGCUAGAAGGCGACGAUUACCGCCUUUUCCGAUUUUUGGUUGAAUACGAAUAGAUCUUCGGAUCCUGAACCAUACUACGUCCUUACCGUCCCCUACUACUUUCUCUAUUGAUUUGUUCAGUGCAAUUGUCCUUCACUUGGGUGCCCAUUCGGGCUGCAAAGUUGAGAAGGUGCCUUUGAAUUU